UACGUAGGGGGCAAGCGUUGUCCGGAAUCAUCGGGCGUAAAGCGCGUGUAGGCGGCUCGAUAAGUCUGCUGUGAAAGUCCAGGGCUCAACCCUGGGAUGCCGGUGGAUACUGUCGAGCUCGAGUCCGGAAGAGGCGAGUGGAAUUCCUGGUGUAGCGGUGAAAUGCGCAGAUAUCAGGAGGAACACCAAUGGCGAAGGCAGCUCGCUGGGACGUGACUGACGCUGAGGCGCGAAAGCGUGGGGAGCGAACAGG
rnacentral:rRNA from 1 species